CUAUCAUCACCAAAGCAAAAUAAAAACCCUAAUUCCUACCUCUCCCCCUCUCUGUCAGCCGCGAACACUGUCGUAGAGAACGAAAAUGCCGUUCAAGAGGUACGUUGAGAUCGGGAGAGUGGCUCUAGUUAACUACGGUAAAGACUACGGCAAGUUGGUUGUCAUCGUUGAUGUCGUUGACCAGAACAGAGCACUUGUUGAUGCCCCGGAUAUGGUUCGAGGCCAAAUGAACUUCAAGAGGCUUAAACUGACCUUUAUCACAAUUGACAUUCCCCGUGUUCCGAAGAAGAAGACACUGAUUGACAUUCCCCGGA